UGCCCAGCAACUCAUAUCCCUACCUCCUCGUGGUACUGGCCGGGGUACGGGGUAACCUUGGGGAAGAUCGGGUAACCAACCCCCGGUGGGAACUUUGGUCGUAUGCUGACAGGAAAGG
rnacentral:ribozyme from 1 species